UGCUGCCGCCUGUAUUCCUGGAUCUUCGCGCCAAGGUAAUCCUCCACGUUGCUCUCUCCGUGGGACCUCUCCAUGGCCUCGGCGAAGGUUUUCGGUGGCUUCCUCACUAAGUCUCCCGCGAAGAACGUGGGCCGGAGGCUGUUCGUCAGGGCGUACAGCACCACCUCCUCCGAGAUCCCCUCAACCUUCUGCACCUCGCUCGCGAACCGAUCCAUGUACGUGCGCGUGCUCUCUGAUUCUCCCUGUAUGACAGUGCUGAGGGCGGCCUUGAUUUUCGGCCUCCUCCGACGGUGUGCAAAAGCCGCUCGGAAUACCGCC
rnacentral:lncRNA from 1 species